UUCACCUUUUAUAUAUUCAAUUUUAAAAUCAAACGCUGAUAAAAUGGCUUGCCAUCUUGCAAAAAUUUGCCGAGAGGCUAAAUCUUUAACAUCCUUUGCAAUACUUCCUUAGCUUCCUGACAAUCCACUCUAAUAAGAAAUUCCUGGUUUAACAAAUCACUUUCAAAUUUAGUAACACAAUGAAUUAUUGCCAAUAUUUCUUUUUUAAUGGUUGAGUAAUUUUGUUGUGCCGAUUUCCAUACACCUGAGGCUGUUGGAUUCGCUAUAGUUAGGCAUGGCAAUUCUUUAGCUUUAGCUUUGAUUUUUAUAACAGCAGUUGUAUGCUCACUGCUCCAAUUAGCAGGGUUUUUCCGUAAUCUUGCAUAUAGAGAUACCACUAAUCCGGCCUGUUUUACUAUUUUGAGGAAUAUUGAUAAGUGUUUAAAAUGU